rnacentral:misc_RNA from 1 species
UCCGGUUUGGCACCGGCAGUCUUCCUAGAGUCCCCGCCAUUACGCGCUGGCAACUAAGAACAGGGGUUGCGCUCGUUGCGGGACUUAACCCAACAUCUCACGACACGAGCUGACGACGGCCAUGCAGCACCUGUGUUCUGGUUCUCUUUCGAGCACUUUCACAUCUCUGCAAAAUUCCAGACAUGUCAAGGGUAGGUAAGGUUUUUCGCGUUACAUCGAAUUAAUCCACAUCAUCCACCGCUUGUGCGGGUCCCCGUCAAUUCCUUUGAGUUUUAAUCUUGCGACCGUACUCCCCAGGCGGUCAACUUCACGCGUUAGCUGCGGUACCAAGAACUUGCGCUCCCGACACCUAGUUGACAUCGUUUAGGGCGUGGACUAC